AAGUCGUAACAAGGUCUCCGUUGGUGAACCAGCGGAGGGAUCAUUACUGAGUUACCGCUCUAUAACCCUUUGUGAACAUACCUACAACUGUUGCUUCGGCGGGUAGGCCGUCCCCUGAAAAGGACGCCUCCCGGCCCGGACCGGACCCCCUUUGGGGCCGGACUCGGCGCCCGCCGGAGGAUAACCAAACGCUAUUUUAACGACGUUUCUUCUGAGUGGCAUAAGCAAAAUAAUCAAAACUUUUAACAACGGAUCUCUUGGUUCUG
rnacentral:misc_RNA from 1 species